rnacentral:rRNA from 1 species
UGCGGUGGUACGGGCAGACUAGAGUGCAGUAGGGAGACUGGAAUUCCUGGUGUAGCGGUGGAUGCGCAGAUAUCAGGAGGAACACCGAUGGCGAAGGCAGGUCUCUGGGCUGUAACUGACGCUGAGGAGCGAAAGCAUGGGGAGCGAACAGGAUUAGAUACCCUGGUAGUCCAUGCCGUAAACGUUGGGCACUAGGUGUGGGGACCAUUCCACGGUUUCCGCGCCGCAGCUAACGCAUUAAGUGCCCCGCCUGGGGAGUACGGCCGCAAGGCUAAAACUCAAAGGAAUUGACGGGGGCCCGCACAAGCGGCGGAGCAUGCGGAUUAAUUCGAUGCAACGCGAAGAACCUUACCAAGGCUUGACAUGUUCUCGAUCGCCGUAGAGAUACGGUUUCCCCUUUGGGGCGGGUUCACAGGUGGUGCAUGGUUGUCGUCAGCUCGUGUCGUGAGAUGUUGGGUUAAGUCCCGCAACGAGCGCAACCCUCGUUCCAUGUUGCCAGCACGUAAUGGUGGGGACUCAUGGGAGACUGCCGGGGUCAACUCGGAGGAAGGUGAGGACGACGUCAAAUCAUCAUGCCCCUUAUGUCUUGGGCUUCACGCAUGCUACAAUGGCCGGUACAAUGGGUUGCGAUACUGUGAGGUGGAGCUAAUCCCAAAAAGCCGGUCUCAGUUCGGAUUGGGGUCUGCAACUCGACCCCAUGAAGUCGGAGUCGCUAGUAAUCGCAGAUCAGCAACGCUGCGGUGAAUACGUUCCCGGGCCUUGUACACACCGCCCGUCAAGUCACGAAAGUUGGUAACACCCGAAGCCGGUGGCCUAACCCUUGUGGGGGGAGCCGUCGAAGGUGGGACCAGCGAUUGGGACU